UGGGGAAUAUUGGACAAUGGGGGCAACCCUGAUCCAGCAAUGCCGCGUGUGUGAAGAAGGCCUUCGGGUUGUAAAGCACUUUCAGUAGGGAGGAAAAGCUUGAUGCUAAUACCAUUGAGUCUUGACGUUACUUACAGAAGAAGCACCGGCUAACUCUGUGCCAGCAGCCGCGGUAAUACAGAGGGUGCAAGCGUUAAUCGGAAUUACUGGGCGUAAAGGGCGCGUAGGUGGUUUGGUAAGUUGGAUGUGAAAUCCCCGGGCUCAACCUGGGAAUGGCAUUCAAUACUGCCUCACUAGAGUAUGGUAGAGGGAAGCGGAAUUCCACAUGUGGCGGUGAAAUGCGUAGAUAUGUGGAGGAACAUCAAUGGCGAAGGCAGCUUCCUGGACCAAUACUGACACUGGGGCGCGAAAGCGUGGGUAGCAAACAGG
rnacentral:rRNA from 1 species